UACGAAGGGGGCUAGCGUUGCUCGGAAUCACUGGGCGUAAAGGGUGCGUAGGCGGGUCUUUUAAGUCAGGGGUGAAAUCCUGGAGCUCAACUCCAGAACUGCCUUUGAUACUGAGGAUCUUGAGUAUGGGAGAGGUGAGUGGAACUGCGAGUGUAGAGGUGAAAUUCGUAGAUAUUCGCAAGAACACCAGUGGCGAAGGCGGCUCACUGGCCCAUUACUGACGCUGAGGUGCGAAAGCGUGGGGAGCAAACAGG
rnacentral:rRNA from 1 species